rnacentral:siRNA from 1 species
UAAACAGACCAUCUUCAUCCCUA